rnacentral:lncRNA from 1 species
UCCAAACAGGGUCUACCCAAAAUCCCAAUACUCUAACUCAUUUCCCCACCUAAAAUUCCUAACCCGAUACAAUACCCAAAAAAGAACCAAAAUUGGCGCAAAAAAGAGCUGCGCAAUUGAGAGGGACCUUACCUUCGGUCUUUGUCUUCUUCAACAAAAUCGGUCUGCCAAUAAAAGCUGCGCUGACAGCCAUCGACACACAGAACUCCGAAACACGCACGCACAUAGUUCUGGUUGAGAAAGAUGGAGAUGGCUCGAGGUUUUCGAGUUUGAGUCGUCUGAUUACUGCUGGAGGUUGAAGUCUCAGUUCUUGGCGUUUUAACACUUGCUCGAUUUCUGUAUCGUGUAUUACUCAAUAUUUUAUCAAUCGUAAGUUCGAUUCAAUUUUCUUAGUUAUGAAUUUAAAAUUUUCAUAAUUUCCAACAUCGGUCGAAAAUUAUGAAUUUAUAUUUAUUUCUUUAGUAAAUUAAUAAUGAAUCGUAAGUUCGAUUUUCAGUUUUCAUAGUUGCUGAAGUUCUAUUAAUUGAAAAGUAAUUUUCGUUCAUUUUGUUGCUGGGUUCUGUUGAUUUGAAUCUAUUGUAGAGUUCGGUUGUGAGACCUGUUCGGGACUGGGUAUUGAAGUGUCGAGGUCGUCGAGUGAGCCAUGUUGGUGUAGCCUGGUUCAAUUGUGGUUCCUCUAUGCCGAGUUACAGAUACGUGCCAAUCUCCUAACCGAAACUGUCUAUAUGUCCUCUGCUUAAUGAGAGCUGUAAGUUAGUGCUGUUAAUUAUGUUGCGUAAUCUGUGAGUUUUACGUGAAGUAAAUUGCGAGGAAAUUAUGUACUGAUAGAAUCUUUGUUUGAUAAUCAUUGAUCAGCUUCAUCUGCUUGUUGAGCAUCAUUCUUAUUUAUCCAAUAAAUGUGAAUGUGAUGACUGAGAACUUGCAAUUUAAUAUUAUGAAUUUCCCAAUGUACCAUGAAGAAAUAAUUAACUCCUUAAAUUGUUUAUGGCGCUAUCCUACAAGUUCCUUAAGAUUGUAUUCCAUUAGUUAAUAGUUUGAGAUUGUUUUCCAUUUGUUUUUUCCAUAAUUCAUUUCAAGAUAAUGAAAAACAAAGACUGCAAAGGCUUCAGUUCAUUCUGGAGGUUCGUGGGAUCAAUUCAUGAAUAUAUUCUCUUGAAUAUCGUAAGCACUUCACUUCUACCAAACUCUAUCAGAUAACAAAUCCUAGAGGAGUAAACUCAUUUUGUAUCCUUGAAAUAGUUAAAAUCCAAGUUAGCAUCUGAUUGUAAAGCGAUCUUGAGAACUCAUACACUUCACCAACAACCAUAAUGUGAUAGGUUAUUUUGUUAGCCCGAAGUAGUGAAGUGCAUAAGAGACUUAAAGAUCCUUAUAUAUAUUUUAGGCUGAUGACAAAUGAGUCUACUUUUUCAUUUCCUUCAAGACUGCAAAGCAUUUCAUAUUUAAAGCAAGCGCCAAAGACAUGCGUCUAUAAAUAGUGUAGUUAGGGGAAAAAAGACAGAUGAUUGAAAAAUGGAAGAGAGCAGGGACCUGGUUUCUAAGAGGGCUGCAACUGGAUAGAGCUGGCAUUCCCGUAAGAAUGAUAUUUAAAAAGUGUGUUCAGCUCUCUUGUAUCUUUAUUGUAAACAGUUUAGGCUAUCUAAUUUUUUCGUGAUUGUUAUUCUUCGCCUGUCAUAACUAAUCUUUGAGCUCUCUGCACACUUAAAAUCUAAGUUUCAAGUGCUUGUUUUGAUAAAAAUCUAUAAGUUUGGUUGAGUAAGUAUUUCUUUCUGGUGUCUAACCCCCAAUGCUGAAUUUUGGAAUGAGGUAUGUCUUGAACUAAAAUCUUUUACACUAUAUUGUCUAAUAUGUUGCAAUUUUCAGCCAGCUGCAUACCAUAAGGCCAACGUACAAUUGAAGUGUAGAAGAGUAUAAUUUUUAAUCAGUAAGGAAACUUGCCUAGCUGCUCAGAGAACACGAGCAUAUUUCUGUUAUCAUUCAGAUUCUCUGCAUAGCCAUUUGAGUAAUCGGUAUUGUAUCCAGCUUUCUACUGGUCUGCCUGUUAAUUUCUUAUCGACAAUGUUGAAACAAGGGCUCCUGCUUCUCACGUGAAAGAUUGAUUGAGAACUGAAAGAGGUGAGAAUAUCUUGUGCACUUCUCUAUCUGGAUAGUUAUGUUCCUACAGACAUAAGCCCUAUUGAAACCAGACACAAGUCUGACUGUUAAUCGUUUAACUUAAAUAGUACCUAUGAAACCAAAGAGAGAAUACAUGUGACUUUAUAUCACAUAAAAUAGGUGUGUAAUUUUCUAUUAUAGAAACAGGAAGUGGACUGACCUGUACAUUAAUGUCACCUAAUCCAUUAUUUUUUUUCCAAUUAUAUGUACUAGAUAUAUUAAUGCCCUUGUGUUAAUAGUUUGUUGCUGCAAUUAUUUGUCAACACUAUGGUCAUUUUCUUUUGUCAACAUUGCUGCUGCAAUCACAAUUAACUAUGACUAAUAUAAUUUAUUUGUUCUUUAUGUAGAUGGAAUCUUGUAGUUGGAUGUAUAUUAGGAAUUAUCCUAAUUGUCGGUUUUUGAAGGAGGAAUUUAUUGCGCAUGCAAUGUCACUUGAACCGUUUUGAAUUGGAAGGUUGAUUAGGUGUCCUUGUGUAAAGUGAAGUGUUUGCAUUAAAUAGAAGGGGUUGAGGAAUUUAUUACGCAUGCGAUGUCACUUGAACCGUUUUGAAUUGGACGGUUGAUUAGGUGUCCUUGUGUAAAGUGCAAGUGUUUGCAUUAUUUUGAACUGACUGAUGUUAAGAUUCCUCUUUAUCAAAAAGGGUUAACGGAUAAUUAUUUUGUGUGGACUAUUCAUAGAGUGAUUGAUGGUGGCGUUGGUGUAUUUCAUAAUGUAGUUGUUGGUGAAAGUAGUAGGUCAAUGGGGAAUACCAUUGGACAUCCGAGAUACCAUGAAAUAGUUGCGGAUGCCCUUGGGAUGCACUUCGAAUUUGAAACCAACGAAAGUGUUGAACAACCUCCUAAUGAAGAAGCAAAAUAUUUUUAUGAACAGUUAGAAGCUGCUAGUCAUCCACUAAAACAAGGGAGUAUGCACUCUCAGUUAUCUGUUGCGGUUAGAUUAUUAAGUAUCAAAUAAGAUACCAAUAUUUCUCAAGCAGGAAUGGAUUCUUUCAUUGGCUUUAUGAGUGAACUAGUUGACCCAACUUUCAACAUACCCAAAGAUUUCUAUAAGGCUAAAAGAUUGGUUUCUAUGUUAGGAUUCUCGUAUAUGAGAAUUGAUUGUUGUGAAGAUGAUUGCAUGUUUUAUUAUAAGGGUGAUGCGGAUUUAGAAAGCUGUAAAUUUUGUGAAAAACCUCGUUUUAAGCGGCUUUCCAGUGGGAAGAAGGCUACUGUGAAGUUGAUACAUUACUUACCACUUAUUCCUAGAUUAAAGAGGUUGUACGCAUCGAUGAGUUCUGCUCCUCAUAUGAGAUGACACUAUGAAAAUAGAAGGUCGCCCGGUGUUAUGUGUCAUCCUUCAGAUGGGGAAGCUUGGAAGAAUUUUUAUAGGACGUAUCCAGAUUGUGCUAUGGCACUAUGAAAAUAAAAGGCCUCCCAGUGUUAUGUGUCAUCCUUCAGAUGGGGAAGCUUGGAAGCAUUUUGAUAGGACGUAUCCUGAUUAUGCUACUGAGCGAGGAAUGUUCGAUUGGGUUUGUGUGCUGAUGGUUUCAUGCCAUUUUCAGUUUCUGCAACACCAUAUUCAUGUUGGCCGGUCUUUAUUACUCCGUAUAAUCUUCCGCCUGAAACGUGUAUGACUAGUCCAUAUAUAUUUUUAAAUUGUGUUAUUCCCGGUCCCCGCAAUCCAAAAAGUUUGAUUGAUGUAUAUUUGCAACCUUUGAUUGAUGAGAUUAAACAGUUGUGGUAUGAUGAAGUUGAGACAUAUGAUAUAUGAACUAAGCAAAAUUUCAACUUGCGUGCUAACUUAAUGUGGACCAUCAAUGAUUUUCCUGCGUAUGGAAUAUUGCCUGGGUGGAUGACUGCCGGAAAGUUAGCAUGUCCUUACUGCAUGAAAAAUGGUAAAGCGUUCACUUUAAGAAACGACCGAAAGCAGUCAUAGUUUGAUUGUUAUCGCCAGUUUUUUCCGGUUGAUCAUGAGUUCAGAAGGAUGAAGAACGCAUUCAAAAAGAAUACAGUUGAACAUGAUUUGCCACCUCCAAUUUACUCCGGUGAGGAAAUUUGGGUGAGGGUUCAGAACUUUACUAAUGUUACAUACUUUAUUUGCAGACUAAGUGUUCCUGGAAGGACCAGUAUAACCGUGAAAUUUAUAAAAAUUGGGAGUACAAAUUGCGUUAGAGACUCUCUGAUUCCUUUAGCUCCGCUCGAAAGCUUAAAAAUAAGCCUUCAUGGGUUCUACCGGAUGUAUGGGUGGAGAUGGAGAGGUAUUGUACCACCGACAAAUUCAAGAAGCAGAGUGAACAUGGCAAGAAGGCCCGAGCAUCUGAGAAGGGAGGCUCCUUGCACUGUCUUGGUUCAAGAGCUGGAGAGGCAUUGGACCACCGACAAACUCAAGAAGCAGAAUGAACAUGGCAAGAAGGCCUGAGCAUCUGAGAGGGCGGCUCCUUGCCUGUCUUGGUUCAAGAAGCAUGGGGGAUACAAGGAGACAUCUGGUAAUUCCUUAAAAUAUUUCGGUCUAUUUUUAUCGAAUUAUAUUUAUAUGUCUCCCAAUAUUAAAUAUUAUGAGUUCCUGAGACAUCUGCCCCUGAGAUUGUGAAUCUUAAAUUUGCAUUAUUUGGUACUAUAUAUCCUUCUACUUGACUCAUAAAUUAAGCAUCACUAUCAUCACCUUCUUUCUUCAUCAUCCCUAGCCUCAUGGGAAUCCCCUUCUUCAUCACCCAUGUUAUUUAUUACAUCAGUGAUUAUAGCCUUCACCUCUGCCUUUUAUGCAUCAAAUCUACACCGAAAUGGCUACCUGAAAUGAACCCCAAUUAUGUGAUCACCAAAUAAAAGAGCACAACAUUAGUGUUAGAAUAACAAAGUGUUUCCUUAGGCAUACCUAGUUUCCCGAUGAUAUCAGAUAAGGUUGCCUGCAUUUUGAAGAGGGCAACAAGUCUGAUUAGUAAGAAAAGUUCAUGACUAUUUAACGCAAGGGCAAGAUAUCACUUACAGAGUUAAAUUCCACUUCUUUCAGAAUAUGUACUGUUGCUGCAUGAAUUUCUUCGUUGCUGGGGUAUGUUUUGGCCUUCUUGACACUUUUUCCUUUUCCUAUUCCAUAAGAUUUUGAAACAGUCAAAAACAUAUACAUGUUCCUACUCAGAAUUGUUGCUUUUCCUGUUCAUAAUUGUUCUGUGAUAAUUUACUUUUACAUUUACUCCUGAAUCCUAAACAUUAUAGGAAUACAUAAGAUCUUGGAUGAUUUCCGGCAUAAUAAAAGUUCAAUAGAAUGGCAUAUCACAGGUGGUUGAGUGAAGAUACUGAAGGGGCAGUGCAUAUUGUAUGACGAAAUACCAUUCCUCAAACCAAUAUAUCAAAAAUGAACUCAUAAUAUAGAUUCCCAUAUGCUACAUGAAGAUUCUCAUAUGCUACAACCAUACAUGUUUGCGUUAUAUUAUAGAUUCCUUUAGCUUGAGCUGUGAAUCCUCCAUGUUGUGUGGCAUGUGCUCAUUGAUGAGAAUGACCAGGAAUUGUCUCUUGGUUACCAGUGGAUGCUCCUUGAUAGGUAGUAGGUGGUCCUUGUUUCCUUCUCCCGUUGAAGUCUGCCGGGUAACUAAUGAGCUAGUAGUAUUUCUCUUUACUUUUUCCUUUCAUCUUCCAAUGUUCACAAAAUAGCCGGAUAACUAAUGAGCUAGUAACAUUUCUCUUUACUUUUUCCUUUCAUCUUGCAAUGUUCACAAAAUGGACUGUAAUUCCUUUUAUUCUUCUGGAGUAAACCUCCAUUUAGUGCUGAACUUUGUGAAGCUGUAAUGCCAUUUCUCUCAGCAAUUGAGUUCAUCCUAGUGUGUGAUGAGGUUCCUGGCGUACUCUUUUCACUUUCAUAUUCAACAAUUAGAGUGUAAGCCUGAUUCAAAGUAGGUUCCACUGAUUUCAUUAGAUUCUACCUUCUAGCUUGUGAAUUGGAAUCGUUCAGUCCACUUAGAAACUGUAAUAUCCUAUGCCACUGAAGAUGAUCUGCAUACUCCUUCAUUAUGUAUAUCAAAUUUUUAUUUUCAGAUAUCGUUUGUACAUUAAAGAAAAGUAAUCAAAUGCAAGUGUAGCUACAACUUUCGUUAAUACGUUUAUUAUAUUUGUAGGAAAAAAAUAUUUUUUUCAUUGAAGAAAAGUAAUCAAAUGCGAGUAUAGCUACAACUUUAUUAACACGUUUAUUAUAUUUGUAGGAAAAAAAUUGGGGAGGAAGAUGAGUCAUGAUGAGUUCUUCAUGGAGACUCACAUCCGAAAGAAGAAAGCACUGACAGAUCCAACUAGAUGGGUCGA